rnacentral:rRNA from 1 species
UGAGGAAUAUUGGACAAUGGGCGCAAGCCUGAUCCAGCCAUGCCGCGUGCAGGAAGAGGCAUCUAUGGUGUGUAAACUGCUUUUGUACGGGAAGAAACACUCCUUCGUGAAGGAUCUUGACGGUACCGUAAGAAUAAGGAUCGGCUAACUCCGUGCCAGCAGCCGCGGUAAUACGGAGGAUCCAAGCGUUAUCCGGAAUCAUUGGGUUUAAAGGGUCCGUAGGCGGUUUAGUAAGUCAGUGGUGAAAGCCCAUCGCUCAACGAUGGAACGGCCAUUGAUACUGCUAGACUUGAAUUACAAGGAAGUAACUAGAAUAUGUAGCGUAGCGGUGAAAUGCUUAGAUAUUACAUGGAAUACCAAUUGCGAAGGCAGGUUACUACUUGUGGAUUGACGCUGAUGGACGAAAGCGUGGGGAGCGAACA